rnacentral:rRNA from 1 species
CCUACGGGGGGCUGCAGUGGAGAAUAUUGGACAAUGGGGGGAACCCUGAUCCAGCCAUGCCGCGUGUGUGAAGAAGGCCCUCGGGUUGUAAAGCACUUUCAGUGAGGAAGAACGCCUGGUGGUUAAUACCCAUCAGGAAAGACAUCACUCACAGAAGAAGCACCGGCUAACUCCGUGCCAGCAGCCGCGGUAAUACGGAGGGUGCGAGCGUUAAUCGGAAUUACUGGGCGUAAAGCGCGCGUAGGUGGCUUGAUAAGCCGGUUGUGAAAGCCCCGGGCUCAACCUGGGAACGGCAUCCGGAACUGUCAAGCUAGAGUGCAGGAGAGGAAGGUAGAAUUCCCGGUGUAGCGGUGAAAUGCGUAGAGAUCGGGAGGAAUACCAGUGGCGAAGGCGGCCUUCUGGACUGACACUGACACUGAGGUGCGAAAGCGUGGGUAGCAAACAGGAUUAGAUACCCCUGUAGUC